UAAAGAAAGCGUAAUAGCUCACUGGUCGAGUCGGCCUGCGCGGAAGAUAUAACGGGGCUAAGCGAUGUGCCGAAGCUGCGGAUGCGAUUUAUCGCAUGGUAGAGGAGCGUUCUGUAAGCCUGUGAAGGUGGAUUGUAAGGUCUGCUGGAGGUAUCAGAAGUGCGAAUGCUGACAUGAGUAACGACAAAGGGGGUGAAAAACCCCCUCGCCGGAAGACCAAGGUUUCCUGCCCCAUGCUAAUCAGGGCAGGGUUAGUCGGCCCCUAAGGUGAGGCUGAAAAGCGUAAUCGAUG
rnacentral:rRNA from 1 species